GCCAAAAUUCGGUUGAGCACUGUAGCUAUUCAGGACUGGUGUGCAGAGAAUAGAGCUGGGUAUGAGGCCAGAAGCCAGGCAUGCACCGAUCCUUACAAGCCAAACACUCGAGAAAUGAAAAAACAGCUGAGGCCCAACUUCUAACACUCAACCAAGGCCAUGCGAAAACAUCAGCAGGGACUCAAGAAUACUCAGCCCAGGCUACCACUAAGAAGCUUGGAGCUCCAGAAAUAGAUAGAAGAAAAAAAAAACAAAAACGGUCAUUCAACACAGUAUGGCAACCAACCGGAAGUGCUUCACUGCCCACCAGGUUAUCACAAUAGAAAUAGAUAUAUAUGGAGAGAGAGAGAGAAAGAUUUUUUUUUCACAUCUGAAUUGACGCUCAUGCAGUCUUCUAGGUUUGGGCACGUUGAGACAGCAUUCACAUCCCAUGCAAACUACAAAGGAACUAGUUUUAGACUACACAUUGUGUUAAUAUUGAUAUUAAAACAUGACAGGAAACAAAAGCAAUUUUGUGUGAUUGAAAAAAAUCUUUGGGAAAGGGAUUUUGAAUUCAUUUGUGUGUGUGUGUGUGUGUGUGUGUGUGUGUGUGUGUGUGUAUUUCAUUCCAUUUCUCUUGGUUUUUGGAUCCAUUAAAUGACGAAUUUGUGUGUGGUUUUUUUUUUUUUAAAGACAAAAUAAAAAGAUCUCCAUUCUGUAUCUCCCCUUCUCCCCCGAUCCCUGCUGGCUACUACCUCCCCACCCCCUCCAUUUAUACCCUGCAUGAAAACUGGCAAUACUGAAGUGGUCAGAGGAUGGGAUAUGUCAUGGAAAGUUCAGGCAUCUUAACAGUAAUGAAGGCGGCAGAGUCCUCUUUUGGGGUGCAGAACAGGGUAUGGAGGGAGGGAGGGGAUGGGGUGGGAAUGGUAACCUGAAGGUUGGCUAAGGCUGGGGUGCUGCUAAUGAUCCUACAGGAUACCCACACACUCACCUCCUGCAGGAGAAGGAAAGGGGGGGGAUUUAAACUUUUUUCCCUUUGGUUGAAAAACAAAACAAAACAGGUAAGUAAUGAAUGCAGACCACACUAACCCAAAAGGCUGACAGAUAAAGCUUAUCUGACCACAAUGCAUCUUGGUUACUUUAUCUCAGGUAGGAACUCCAGACUGAGGCAAAGAAAGCUUGGACUGCAUGUUGGCUACUGAGGGAGACCCAGCAUCCUCAUAGCCAGAGACUGUGCACUGUGGCUGGGACAGGGGUGGCCAAAGGUGAUACUGCCUUAGGCUUAGCCUGUUUCUAAGUCACCACACCUUCCUAGUGAGGGCCCCUGACUACUAAGCAGGUGAAUUCUGCCUCAGCUUUUCUACCCUUUUAGUAGAUUAAACUCCAUUUGCUGUUAAAAAAUUCAUCAUAGGCCUCAGAUGGGGAUGCACACCUUUAAUCCCAGCACUCCGGAGGCAGAGGCCUGCAUAGCAAGUUCCAGGCCAGUGACACACUGAAAUCCCGUCUUAAAAAACAAAAACAGAGGGGUUGCAGUGAUAGAUAGCUCAGUGGUCAGGAGCACUGGCUGAUCUUCCAGAGGACCUGGGUUCAAUCCCCAGCACAGAUUCGGCAGCUCACAACUCCAGUUCCAGGGGAUCUGACACCCUCACACCAAAGCAUAUACAAUAAAAUUAAAUAUAUUAAAAAACAAAAACAGACCACCUCCCCAAACCCCCCAAAACUCCAAGCAAUUUCCAUCAUAAAAGCAAGCUCUUAUUGAUUUUGAAACUUCCAGCAGCUGCCAGACCUUAGCUAGCAUGUUUUAAAGAAACUCGGUGACAGAAAUUUGCUUGUCUUCAGCCUUAGAAGGCUUACUUCCUCCUCCUGGCUCCUGUGGUUGUUACAGCUGCCAAGAAGAACAUCUUAAGUGUACAGUGGAGUCCCUCUUGCCUGGGGACCUGUCGCUGGAGGCCCUCACUUCUCUUGUGGCUUUGAAGAUCAUGUAAGUGGAUUAUUUCUUUCCAUGCACUUGUCACGAGAGUGAGAAGAGAUUAAUGAUUCUCCCUUGAGAAGGGGACACAAGAUUCAAAGUGGACCAAACCACACUAGGUCCGGCUCCUGCCUCCCUCAGCAGAGGAAAGAGGGGCUAUCACCCCUGGAUGCCCUUGGGCAGGAUGCUCCCCUUUGAAGCACUGGCCAGAAAUUAAUAAACAAGACGAUCAAGCCAGUGGGCUAGGGGAGGAGGGGGAGGUGCUCCAAGCAAUAAUAGCUUAUUUGGAAAUGCACUGGCAGCAGGAUCUUUUGAAUCAAGAACAAUAAAAUUGCAGAUAACAGUUGUCCGUUCUUGCUCAGGAAGGCAAAAAGGGUGGGAUUGUCUUGGUGGACCACACUCUUUUCUUCUGGGCUCAGGAAACACAAAGAGCUCAACAGUGGGCUCUUGGUUCACCCAGGCACCAAACCUCCCUCUACAGAAGAAGGAACUGGCUUUGACUUUGGGCAAGAGGAUGGGGCGGAGUUGGGAAAGUGUAGUAGUGGAAGAUGGAGAGAGAGGUUUCUUUGUUUUUUUGUUUUCUUUCUCCUCUGAUAAGAUGCGCUUCUAGGAAGAUAGUAGACAGGCAAUGAAGAGAAGGCAGGAGAGCCUCACCCUUGGAGACAAAUCCAGCUAAAGAAAUACAAGAGGCAGCAGGCCGACGGAAGAAUGCUGUCCGGAGAGCCCUCUAUGGAAGGCUUAGAAGACAGGGGGGCUGUUGGUAUUCACCCUGCCCCUGGCAACUUUCCUGCUCCAUGUGCACCUGGAAGCCUGGCACUUGUAGUCUGGAGGGAAUUUUACAAGAAGCUCAUUUUAGGCCUACAGCACCCCUCCCUGCUCAGUCAUAUCCCAUCCAACAGCACUCUUGGAAGAGAGGCACUGUGCUAGAAACAUGGCUUACCGCCACCUCCAGUUCCACUGGAGUAUGUACUUGCUUGGCCAAAGCCCAUCCCAGCUCAAGGCUAUGCAGCAAGCAUCCCCCAUGAAGGGUGGAGGACUUGGCUGCUGAGUCCUCACAGAGGGUACAGUGCACAGGCAAUAGGUGCCUAGUGUCCUUCUCCAGGGACCAUGGAGCCUACACCCACAUGGGUUUGGCCACAGAGGAAAGAUGUCCCUUCAAGCUCCAUAGUCAACAUUCAUGUCUCUUGUGGCAGAAGAACCACAGCCCAGAUAGUGUGAUAAGGUCCCCAGGCAAGCAACCUAUUUAGGGACCCUGUUCAGGAAGGGAUAGGGACAGAUGCUUGGUGGCUGUUACUGCCUGCUGAGAGCAGGCGGGUAGCUGGGACAAAGAAAUCCCCUCUUUCUGGAAGUUAGCACAACUCCUCACACUGUACUUGCUGGCUACUUGAUAACAGGGUCUCUUCCUGUGAGCUGUGAGGGGCAAAGAAGCAGGCCAGAGGUCAAGUUCCCAUGAAAGUUCUCUCUGGGAGUUGGGGAUUUGACUCAGUGGUAGAGCGCUUGCCUAGCAAGUGCAAGGCCCUGGGUUCGGUCCCCAGCUCCGGAGGAAAAAAAAAAGAAUAGAAAGUUCUCUCUGUGAAAUGGAAGGCUCCCUUCCCUGGGCACUGAAACUCAUUUGGAGGGAUCAGGUGUGGUUCCCUAACUCCAAGAAAGGAUAGAGCAUCACUUUUCAUGGGUGAGGAAGGGCAUCUUGACUACUGUAUGGCUAGUCAAGCUGUGUGUGCGUGCGUGCCUGCGUGUGUGUGAUAUCGGGAAGUAUCAUGGAGUGCCGUCUAAGGUGGUCCCUCCUUCUGCACCUCACUGACCUUCAGCAUCCUCUGGCUUUUCCAGUCCAGGCAGUGCCCUCGGGGGGCAGGUACAAUGGAUAGAGAGGGACACUGGACUUGGAGUCAGAAGACCUUAGUUUGACUCUGGCUCUACCCUGACACUAGCUUGUGUCCUUAUCUGUGACACAUGAGUAAUAUGCCCCUUAUUCAAUCUGAGUCGCUAGACUGCUGUGAGAAUGAAAAGGAGAAAAAGCUCUGUGACUUAUCAGGUAUAUGCAGAGCCCCACAUAGGUCCUGUAUGCACAUUUAGCAAAGUCCAAUAGAGGAAAAUGCAAUCCACUUGCCAUACAGACCUAGAGGUGAUUACAAAAGGGUUCAAUCCAUCCAUCUGGUGCAUUUAAUCACCCUGGACCUGAAAAAAAGGACUCAGGGGUGGGGGGUGCGACAUGAAAAGCGGGGACACUUGCUAUACCUCAGAAGGCUAGCAAAGCAAGAGGGAUGUAUUGGAAUGAGAGUUGGAGGUAUUUUAUAUUAAAUGAAAAGCUUCCUGAUGCGCAAGAAAACACCUAGAUGGCUGACCCAAUGAGGCCUUCCUAUCUCCUCUCAGAGAUGGGAAUGGAAAUUGGACCAGCAACCUGCACUGGGAAUGCACAUCCUUACGUGUGUGUGUGUGUGUGUGUGUGUGUGUGUGUGUGUGUGUGUCUGUAUGUGCUCUGCUUACCUGUGGUCAGGAAGGGCUGGGCCAAGAGUGGAAUUAAUCUUAGUGGGUAGAGAAAACUCACAAUAGCCUUACUGUAGGUCCAGGAAAAGAAAUGGAAGUCCAGGUCUUUCUAUCUUUCUAUAUUGUCUAAAACUGGGUAGAAUUUGACGGGAGCAGCAGAGAAGGAAACCACUCACAGCCACAGUACCCAGGAGAUGUUGCAUUAAACCAUUCAAUAUCUGAACAUGUAGCCUCUGUCUCCUUGUCCAGCCCUUUAGGGUAUAGGACCAAAAUACCAAAAUUGAAUAGGGAACCCAAAUGAUGAAAGCAGGUGAACUCCAGUUUGAUGUUGAGAAAGACCCUCAGCCUGUUUUGAUCUGUCCAUGGGGCACAUCAUCUACCUAACUUACGAGGGAAGCAACCAGUACGGUUUUCCCAUGUGUCUCUAGUCACACCCACUUGUGACUGUGCUGCUACACAUUCAUUGUGACAGUCCCAUCCCUGCCUGUCCCAGCCAUAGCUCCCUUGGGUCUUAGAUGAAGGUCCCAUGCCUGCCUGUCCCAGCCAUAGCUCCCUUGGGUCUUAGAUGAAGGUCCCAUGCCUGCCUGUCCCAGCCAUAGCUCCCUUGGGUCUUACACAUUACUUCUCAUAUGACCAGUGUGUAUUUCUCUGUGCUACAAACAUACUGCAGAGCUAUGAGAUCCAAGGCUAGGACUUAGGCUAUAGACUUAGAAGAUGGUCUAGCUUGGAUUCCCGAAAUGAUGGCUACCUAAGAAUCAGUGGUCAGCACCUCCCUGCUAGGAAUGCCAGGGCAGGAGGUGCACUACUAUGGCUGGGCCAAGAGAGGUGAGAGCUAAUGGGAUAAGAGAGUACCAGGCUGGAUUACCCUGUGUAAUAGAUGAGCAAACGCAGGGUCUUAGGACUGAAUCCAGUUCUAACUUGAAAGUACAUGUAACUUCAGUCAGGUGCCUGUCCUUGAAUCAUUUUGGUGCUGUAGACACCUCUCUUACUAGCACUAGCCAGGGAUGGUCGGGUGGUGCCUACAAAGACAUGGGGGACUUCAUCUCUGCUGAUGACUGGGGCACCUCCUACUGUGUCUUAAAACAAAGAACCCUGUGGCAAAAAGCAGAGAUGCAGUCAGUGUUGGGAGUCAGUAAGUGGGAGAGGACACUGGCCAAGCCCUCACUGAGCUCAUCAUCCCUGUCAAAAGAGCCUGGACACACUGGGGUCCCCAGAGAACUAACUCAGCCCUCAGAGUCCACCCCACUCUGCUGGGUCCUGUGAGGAGCUGGGACACCUUAGGGCUGGUUGGCAUUUGCGACCCAAUCACAUCUAACGGCAUCUUGGCACCAGGGGAUCCAGCAUCUGGGUGUGGGUGGUAGAUGGUGGGUGAGGAGGGUGCUCAGGGCAUAGCCCCCCGAGGACCUGUACAAAAGGCUUUCCACUCGAGUAGUCCGUCUUUAAUGAUUGUGAAGGCACAGGAGUUUAAUCCAUUUUUGAUGUAAGCACUAAUAGCUCUGUGUCCUUGAAGUUCAAAGCGGGCGCAUACAUGUCACUAAUUAACCAAGCGCAGAGCCAUUCAGCUCCCUCUCAUGUUCCUAAUUAGGUCUUUAAUAACAAACAAACUCCGACCUUAGCAAGAGGCUCCCAUUUGUCAGCGAGUCUAGGAGUAUGGCUGCUUCCCUGUUUACAGUUGUUCUAAACUUUUUGCUCCUAAUCUCAGCCUAGCCUCAAGGGGAGAAUCUCACCUCAGGAGACAAGGACCCCUAAGGCCAUCCUUGAAGGUGGUCUUGUUGGCCCUGGUAGGCAGAAGAGCCCUGAGGCCACAGGGACCCUAAACCUAGGCUGGUGACUUUCCCCUGCUUCUGUUUGAAGGAUGCUAGGUGCCUGUCAUGGUCAGGGAUGGUAUAAAGUUGUAAAACUAACCAGGACCUGAGGCUAUGGUUACACAUUGACUUUGCCUAGGCUCUGAUUCGAUGGAUUUGAAAUAUGGCCUAGCAAUGAGGAAGUUAGAAAAAUGCUGAGAUGAUCCCAGCAUGCAGCAUAGCUGCAACAAAUCUUUAGGGUGGCUCGAUCAUUCGCAGCGAUUAGCAAGUCUUCUGUUAUUGCACGUGUGUGGUGUGUGUGUAUGUGUGCAUGUGGAGGCCACUGUCAAGUGUCUUUAUUGUUCUCCACCUUAGUUGAGACAGAGUCUCUCGAUGAACUUGGAGCUCAUCAAUUUGGUGAAGCAGGCUGACCAAUCAGCUCCAGGGAUUCACGUAUCUCUACCUUGUGGGUGCUGGGAUUAGAGAUGCAACUGUGCCUCGCUGUUAUGUGAGCACUGGGGAUCAGAACUCGGGUCCACCCACUUGCAAAAGGACACCCUUUACCAACUGGGCCAUCUCCCCUAGCCCCAGGUCUUCUGCUAUUAAUGAAUACUGUUCACAAAGACAGAAGAAUCCCAGAAGCCUACAAGUUCCCACCAAGCACACUCAAGACUAGAAAUCUGACAUACUGAAAAUGCGAUUCUAACUGUAAACAGAGGCCCGCUUCACCCCCAUGCAUACUGCACUGGAUGGCCUACUGUUCUCAAGGGCACACCCUACACCUCCACGGGAUUUCCUGUCACUGGGAUGCUCUCGGCUUUCUCUGCGCUCUAUCCUUAAGCCACUGUCAUUUUCACUGCUUAUGUCUCCUAGGACGAAGGAUCAGGAGCUUUGGACAGAGCAGCAUACAGAGCUGCGGGGUUGAUGGGACUAUUGGGGACUGGAAGUCUGAAAUCCUCAUUUAGUGGAGGUGGAUGCCAGCCAGGAACCGGGCCCCGCCCAUCCUCCUGUGGGUUUAUCGUCUGAACUAUUCCUCACUCACAGGCAUCUCCUUUCCCAGGAGGCGGGUGCACCUCUUGGUGGUUUCAAUUUCCUCUUAGCUAUUUGAACCUUGAAGGUCAAGACCUAGGGAAUGGAGGUCAUGAACUCGGUGAGACCCCUACUAGCAUGUCCUGGUGAGUUUACUCUUCAAAGCAGGCAAACAGAAAACGAGGUUGGCAGAGGGAGACCUGAAAACCUCAGGGGCUACACCUCCGUGGAAGGUUUAAAGGGUGUUUUUCUGCAUUAAAAAGACAAUGUGAGGUCAAAGACAGAAUAAAGAGACAAGGAGUUUCUUCCAAUGUCACGCUGUCCCUGCUGUGUUUCUGGUCUGUUCUCUGUCGGGGGAGGGGUGGGUUAGUUUUGUGACUCUUCAGGGAACCCACCUUUCUGUGUGUACCUGUAAGGCUGAACUCUCCAAGGCCUGGGAAGCCUACCCUCUCCAAGACAUAGUCAGAAAUAACUUCCAGAAAGAAAGGGAAGCUGGCUGGGAAACUGGCUGGCCUGCUUUCCUCACACAUCAGUCUCUACCACAGGCACCCAGGCGCAAGCGUGGCAUUCACUAUUUGCCAUGGACCUGGACAGACCACUUUAUUAAUAUUAAUAAGUAGCCAGGAACAAAGGGCCCAUUUAUUUUUAGCCUUCUUUAAUUGUGUAGUAAUUACUCAUCUACAAAACAAAUGAGCCCCUGUUUGCAGUUGCUAUGGUACCUGGUGCCCAAGCCUCCCUGAAAGAAGAUUGGGCAAGGAGUCGGUUGCGCCUGUGGCCACACCCCCUUCUCCACCAUUGGUCCAAAGCACAGCCCCAGCAACUGGGCAGCCAAUGGCUUCCUUGCUCUUGGGCUGGGCAGUGUUUCCCAACCACUUUCCAGAUGCGGUUUGUGCAAGGCAAAGAAAGGGAUGCUGACUCCUCCCUGCAGAGAAGUCUGCCUACCCAGAGAUUCCCACCCCUAUCCAUCACCUCAGACAGAGACUAACUCCUUUCAGCUGUAUUUUACCUAAAGGUUCCCUUCAGAAAAUUCCCUUCAACCUGGCUCCCUCCGGUUGAACCACACCUCUUCUGGGUCUCCUUUGUCUGACACUGGUCCGAAUAGAUGCAGGGACCAAAUCAAAAUGUCAGCCAAAGAUCAGCCAGGCAGAACCAUGCUGCUGAGUCCCAACAACAGAAGCAGGUGCAAAAAUGCAGAGCGUGCCUCUCGAGACCACUUGUAAAUGAUUUUGGUUAUCGUCUCCCCUAAGGAUAGGAAGAAUUGAGUGGGAACAGCUGCACCUUUCUGUUGAGUGUUUAAAAGUUGCAGUUUGGCUCAGCCGUAGCUAGACUGGUACAUCAGUAUGUGCUGAUAGUGGCUGAGAGCACAGGCUGAUGGGACAGGCUCAAAUCCUGUCACUGCCACCUCAGAUAAGCUACUAUCUCUUCCCGGAGCCACAGUUUGUAAUCUCUAAAAUGGGAAGGAGACUGAUGGUGCCCAUUUAUGGCUUCAGAAUUAAGUGGGGGUAUGGUGUGCGGGCUUGGUGCACAUGGCACUCGACUCAUCAUGGAGCAGCUACUGGUGAAUUGAUGUUAUUAUUAUUGUAUUAAUAAAGUGGGGGAAUGUCUCUAAUGCCUUCUUGUUAACAGGAUACUCUUCUUUAAGGAAACUUCCGGCAGAUGUGUAUUUUGAGACGUUCGGUUCACCAGGUGUGGUUAAUCCCAGCCAGACAAGGACAAUGAAAGAUGGACGGGACCAGCAGAAAGAACAAGGGCAGAGGCUGCCAUGCGGGCAAAGGAAUGAGAACUGACAGUCGGAGGAUGGCAGUGGGUGACAACUUGUCACUGAAGGUUCUCAGCCCAUAAAUCCUCUAUGAAACACAAACAGCUAAAAGCAUCGUGACUCAGGCCUAGUGAUGUACCUACCAUGUCCAGUGACGACUACUGUCCCACACUUGGUAAGUAUCAGCUGAAUUCAGCUUUGGCAGAUGGCCUUGGCUCUGUUUAUACAAUCUCCAUCUGGAAGGCUGGACUGUGUGGAAUGACCCACAACUAGACCUCAGGGCUGUCUGGGUGUUCCCUGUACAGCUGACUGUGUGAGGUGUCUGGGUGGCAGGUCUAUGGUGGCCAUUUCUCCACAGGACUCAUUUCAGGAGGCCAAACACCUGUGUCGGAUCCAGUGCGCGUCAGCUUGACUCGAGCCUGUUUCCAGGUUACCAGGAGUGCGACUCUGGAUAAGUCACAUCGACAUUCUGCAGGCCUGCUCUCAGGAGAAAACAUGUAAACCAAGCCAACCCUGCUUUCCUGUUUAGCUCGUGGCUUAGGUGUGGCUGAAUAUAGUUAUCAAAGCUCUUUGAAAUAUAUGGCACCAGGACGCCUCCAAGCCUCUGUCCCUCUGAUGGUUCUCAUCAACCCUAGGGCGUGACCACCUUUCAGGUCUGUCCACAAAUGGGAGCGGGUCCCUAGGCCUAUUGUGUUCUCUCUGCUUGUGCAGAAGACUCCUUGACAGUUGCGCCUGGGCUUUCUAGCCAGUACUCGAACGACAGCUCACCCUCUUAAGGGACAGUCAGGAAUGUGUCAACUACUGAAAACCGUUCCACUGAUUUAAAGACCAUUAACAUUCCCCCACUCCAUCUGCUUCCAGAUUAACUUAUACUUCGGUCUGGACUUUAAGGCUAGUCGCUAAUUGCUCUAGAGUUCAUUUAUCAAGUGCAUGGUAUUUCUAUUACAAAAUUAUUGAUUGGAGCUGAUGUACUGUAUCCUCAAUGGGGCUGGUCCGAAAGCCCUUGGAGAAUGAAUGAAGCCGAGGUCAGCGUCAGAAGCCUGCGCACGUUAUUAUAGACUCUGUGGCGUUACUUAAACCUCACUGCCAGUCUUUGUGGUUAAAGCCCUGACUCCUUAGAAAUGACAGUUUUAAUGACAACCUGGGAAAAUAGGUGCUCUUCAGAACACAGGCCAGGGCUUGAAAAAGGAAUACUGAAGUAACACUGUGGGUGAGCCAAGUCCAGCUAGUCGUGGCACCUUGUCCUGCCCCAGUGGGUCAUACCUUUCUUCCCCUCUGACCACUAUACUGAUUCUACUUAUGGCAACAGACAUGACUGUGUCCUAAGGAGAGGCUCUCUUCGUGACUUUGCCCACAGAUAGGCCACAGCCCCCCGAAAGGAUGUAUCUUUGCUGACACAGGUUGAGAGGAAAGCAGAGAGCUGUCCUGUGUCUCCCACUCUUCAUCUCCCAUCAGAUCUUGCUGACAGAAGUGCAGAAAAGCUAUUCCCAGAGCUGAAGCCACACACUGAUCCCCCCAACCCAUUCUCUGUCAUGUAUGCAUGUAGGCAGGUAUAUUUACCUGUGCGUGUGCAUGUGUGUGCAGUUCAGAGGUUGAUGUCAGGUAUUUAUCUUAUUUUUUUUUUUGAGACACUGGUUUCUCACUCAAACCAGAUCUUGCCGUUUUAACUUGCAUGGCUGUCCCAUGAGCCUCCAGGAUCUGCCUGACUGCCCACGUAAUGCUGGGGGUUACAGGUCUGUGCUAUCACAGUCUGCUAUAUCUGGCUUUUCUGAAUUUUAGGGCUCAGAAGUCAGAACCUCAUGUAUGUGUGGCAAGUUCUUUACCAAACAAUCUCUCAAGCCCAUUUUCCCAUUUUAUAAUGGAGUCAGAGGUGGCACACGAUUUCUGCUUGUGUCCUUUCAGUGAAGGCUGUGGGAUGCCCUCCAGAUGGGAGACAAGGCGGGGACAGGGGAGGGAUGGAGAGCUUUGAGACACUUUCACAAAGGUGGCUGCAGAGACCCAGAACCAUCUCGGAAGGGCUGGGAUGUCCUGCCAGUUUCUUGGGCCCUAUCCUCCUCCACUGGUUUAGGAGAGGCCUCACAGUCCUGUGGUGGGCAUGCUAGUCUGCCCACUUGCUUCCUGGGCUGGAACUCUGAGGGCUCUAGACUACAGGCACCGAAGCUGUCCUAGGAUGCAGGUUAGUAGCCCGGGGUUCUGCUCUCUGGUUUCUGUUCCCAUUCGCUGCUCUUACUUGCUAGGUCAGUUUGCAUCUGCAGCAGCACUGAAGCCUAGUCCCAGCCAUUUUCUGCUGCCUGCCUCCCCUGUCCCCAGGGAGACCAUGCUGAAGGAUGGCUCCUCCUGGGUUUUUCCACAUGGAGCCUUUGUGUCCUCAUUCUGUCUGGCCCGGCGCAUGCUCAGUUCUUUCGUGUUCUAACUGCCAGACCAUCCCGAGCUUCCCCGCUUCCCCCAACAAGACUUCUGUUUCAUUCUAUCAUGAUAUAGCCUUUUGAAGAUGUUAUGGGUUCUGUGACUCUUUUCCUGAAUUCCAUGUCCCAAGAUAGAUAACUUGUAUCCUAUGGCCCUUUCUGAUGGUAGGGUUUGGUCAGAGCCAUUAUGCACCUUGACUUGACAUGAAGAUUCUGGGUCUAAGAAAGUUAGGGACAAAAGCUCUAAGGUCUCUGGUACUCCCUUUGUGGAGUGUUACAUGCAGAGAAGACAGAGUGUCCAAAGAUGCUUGCCCACACAUGCCAUAGGGAGGACAAAGGCUUGCUCCAGAAAAACAUUUCUAGGGAGUCCUAGGGGGAACGGGUGGCUCUUCUGUGGCUGUCUCAGGCCUACAUGAUUCUCUCUUCCCUGAGAAGCUGUGUCAGUCACCACUGGGAGGGAUGCUGGACCAUCGCUCAUGCCAUUGGCCCCUUUCACCAUUACCACUCAAAAGAGCCGGUGUCAGCAUCUAUCAGAGUCAAAUGUACCCGCUGUCUGCAAGGGCCGAAGCUCUCAGUCUCUUUCUUACCACACCUUACCUCCCUCUACCCACAGGAACAGAUGACACAGGCUGAUCUUUUCAUAGGGACCUGUGUCCCUGAAGGGCUCAAGGAGAAGCUGGGCUUAGAGGAGGCUGGCUGAUGGCCUUAAAAACAAGAAAAGAUCUGUUGCUUUGGUGGAGAAUGGUGUGGGAGAGAUAAGAACUCAGAAGAACACGAUGACUCCUUCCGACUCUGGCUCCCCUUGCUUUCGCUAUGGUGAACACGGAGUUUGUUGGGCAGGCUAGAGCUGAAGGGGGUGACCCAGUGGAGAGCGUGAGGAGAGGUGGUGGUGGCUGAUGGCGAGCACAUGGAUCCAAGGCCUUGGCGACAUUGAAAACAUGGAAGCCCUUCUCUUCCUGGUCCCCAUGCUACCCUUCAGACAGCAGUGUUGGGUCGCACCCUCGGAGACCCUGUAGUAUCAACUCAACAAUGCAUGUUCUACAACUACGGCUACAGCUAUCAGGACAUCUACUACAGUGCAUGCAUUUAGUUCAGUCCCACAGAUACAUACAAUCUAAGAACAGGCAGGGGAGGUGUGAAAUGUUUUACUAGACAACAGGUGUUUUGGAGUUGUAACUGAUAAAAAAAAUAGAAAAACGUAAAGUGUACAAAAAAAAAAAAGAGAGAGAGAGACAUUUCUUGAGAGUGGGAUGAGUUUGUUUCUUGAACUGUUUUAUCUGAACAAGCAAAACAUGCAAACCAGCUGGUACUAACAGGAAGCUGGACACUGAGAGGGGAACAGGUGUGGACAAACCUUCCUGCUGAGCGUGCUCAGAAGAGUGUCUGAGAGGACGUGUGCAGGUCCUAGUGUAAGAGAGGCGGGAAAGUAUGCCUCAGACACUCUCUCACCGCAGCCCCAACCAAGCAAGAGAAAAGACAACAGAGACAUGACUGCUCACACUCACCACCACCGUCAGGAACUUACGUCACUAGACUGGAAUAAAGCUGGCAAGUAUAAAGUACAGUAAGGGGUCCUGGCUGGGGCCGGAGGGUGGGUAAUACCAGGGGAGGGCUGCUCGGCAAGCUCUAAGAGUCAUACACGGACCCACCAAUGAGGUCAUCCCAGAAUAAAAGUACCCUGAAAAUUGGUACCAUUUUUUUUCCUCAGGUUGGGGGCGGGGGGGGGGGAGGAGGUGUCAAGUGUCCAACCAGAUUUAUGUUUGGAUGGGACGUGAUGGGGGUGGUGCCGCUGGAACUGGAUGAGCACAAUCAAAAUAAACGAACUCUCGACUGAGCACGAGAAAAGAUGAUGUUUCAGACUGCCAGGUGAACGUGAAAGGAAAGUGACCACUGAUAGUGAAGUUAUCUAGGAGUCGGCAGGGAGGUCCCCUGCUGGGCCUGUGCCCUGCUCACCUCAGGUUCUGGGGGAAGUAAGGAAAGGUAGGCAGGCCAGCCCAGAGGAACAGGCAGCAACUCAAGGCCUCCCCCUUGACUGCCUCAAUACCACAGCCCUGACGGAUACAAGUUGCCACCCCGAGAAAGAUCCAAGCUGCCUCCCACCCCCAUGGCCCUUAGUAGGUGCUUCCUAACAUGAGGAGGAGGGAGGUCAAAAUAAAGGGGUGGGGGGAGCGGGGGAAUUAAACCGGUGGGGCUAAAUAAAAAUGACCAAAAAAAAAAAAAAGUUGCUCUCAGUAAGACGUCUAAUCCCUAACCCAAGUCCAGGAAGCAGAGACACAUUUCCUAGAGUCUGUAGUCAUUGUCAGGUGUGGCAUGGUGCUGAUCGAUGGAUUCUAAGGAGAUUAUAAGGAUUCCUGAUACAGAAUGCUUGCUCGGGAGGCCGGGGCAGGGGCAGUCUUAGCUUUGGGGGACGACCUGGGAGUAAGGUGAGGCAAGGUUUGAGGAGCUGGUACAGGGAAAUCUGGAUCAUCCAGUGCCUGGGAACCCUCUGGGACCUGGUGUAACACAUACACUGAUGUAUGGCUUUCCUCAAUUCACAACAGAGUAUUUGUCAAUGAAGGACCAAUCAAAGGUAUAUUAACUGGCCAACCUCUUCCAGGCUCAGAGUUUGGGUCAUCUUCUAGAAAGAAAGUGACAGUCCCCCUACUGGCCAAAAUAUGUUAAAAGAAAAAGGCAGAGUUCCCUUCCCCAACUUGACAGCUUUGGUCCAAGUCCAAAGGUGGGGCGCUGGGCUGGGCUUCCUGGUCUCCAUACACAGAUCGGGCCAUGUUCUCUAUGGUGGGCACAGCCCAAGCCUACUUGGCAGAGCUGGGCGGUUCCCCUUGGGUGGGUACCUCAAGCUGAGGAUUUACUCCUUGUACUAACCCAGGCUGGGGUGGGCAGGGGUUUGGGGAGCGUCCUCCUGAAUACGAUUCACUAACAGUGCAGCGAUGAGCAUGGCUGACCUUGAUGGCCUGUGGGAGAUUUGGCUCCCGAUGGAAAUGGCUACAAAUAAAACACCACUGAUCCGGGAAACAAAAUGUGUGGUUGGAGAUGACCUUGAGGGUUAGGAGUUAGAGGGAUGGGUGAGUGGGGUUCCCGCCUGGCUGGGGAGGGAGGAGGGACCUGUGCAUGGGCAGAGUGGCAGAAGGGGGCACAGCCCGGGGAGACGGCUCUCAGACUCGCAAAGAAUCCCAUGCUGCCCUUUAAACUUGCCAUGGAGUCAAGGGGAUCGGGGUGGGGUGGGGAGAGAGGCAGGGUUAAUUUCGGGUUAAAGUUUAGUUUCAUAAUCCAAGUUAUCAAAAGAAAGAAACUGAUCGGAGAAAACAAACAACACUCACAAAUUUCAAGACUGUUCUUUUGAUCUUUCUCCCCUCCCAGGCACAGGUAGGAAUGAAGCUUUUUGGUUUUUUGUUUUGCUUUCUUUUUUUUCAUUCCCCCAAAGCAUUCAUAAUAACCCCCAAAACCAGAAACAUGAAGACAUGAUGCAACUGUGCACCUGUCCUAGGGCCUGGGAGUGGGGAACACCAAGGGACACUGGCCAGAGGGCAAGGUGGGACCUUUACAGACUAGAGUGGGUAGAAGUUGAGAGAGCCCAGCUCUCUGGGCUUCCCAGCCUGCCUGCCAAUCACAAGUUCUCUGGCAAACUGCCCCUCAGUAGCCCCCACCUCAAUUAAUUCUCUCCCUGAACCACCCCCAAAACUCCAGUGGAUAUCUUGGGGGAGGGGAUCCUUUGUAGCUUGGAGGCCAGUGCCAGUUUGCAUGGAACGGAUUUUCUCUGACAUUUUCUAAUGAGUCUUACUAUACCAGUUUGGGUUUUUGGCAUUUGCCCUCUGGGCCUUUAACGAUCCAUUUCCUGGAAUCUUCCCCAGCACCCCACCCCGCCCCACCUUCUGCAGAGCCUAGUUCUGUUAAAUCAGUGCUCCAGAGCCCUGCCUGACGGGGCAGAGUGUUAGGGCAAGGGUGCCAACCUGGUACCAAGCUGCUCAGUGGAGGGAGGGGCAAGGUGGAGAGAGCCGCUGUCGGCAGGGGUGCCCAGUGCAUGGCAGGGAGCCCUUGGCACUUGUGGCGGGGUGACAUACCCCGGUUCUGGUUGGACCUUAUAAUAUUGCUGGGAAAGUGGUCCCUGGCGACUGGACAAAAGUCAUGGGAAAGAAAGUUCUAAUCUCUUUGGUGGGCUACCUGACUGAAAAGAGAGUCUGGGGUUCCAGGGACUCUCACAGCAUGGCUCAUUCCUUUGCUUCCCUCAGGGAUUGGUUCAUCUCUGGCCUCAAGUGGAGACAGAGUAAAAAACCCACCUGCCAGGCUGGGCAGGAGAGGGAGCCUACUUUUACCUCUUUGGCCUGGUCAGAGAUCAAAAAAAAGGAACCUUCUAAACCUGCCAGAGCCAUGGAC